GCUAAGAAAAGUUGGGCAUAGAAAAUAAGACACAAAACUUCAGGCAUUUUUAAGAUCCUCGAGGUCCCUCCCCAAGAUUAUGAAAUCAGUAAGCAAUUGCUGAGAAGAACUGCUUGAGAAUCCGUCAGGGAUCCAGCUCUAGGAAUGCAGUUUUUAGAAGUUGUCACCUAUGCUGAGGUGAUGCAACUACACAGAAAUUCAUGUUCUUCAACCAUGCUCUUAAAAGUAACUACAGUGAACCAUUGGCUCACCAAGCUGGACUUGGAUGCAACUGUCUCUUUGGUCUGUUGUCAGCGUUCUGCCUAGAAAGAAUGAAUAUUCAUGCAUUUCUCCCAGGAAAACUAACAAAACAAUAGGAAAUGAAUGGCUGGCAGAAACAGAGAGCCCAACAACAGAACAAUGCACAUAAAACAUACUCACGUGACAGAUGGAGUAAUAACUGAAACAAGUUUGAAGGGCCCAAAACUGGAACUCUGUGAGGGUCGGAAGAUUAAAGUCAAGGGUAAGAAACCAAGUGGUAGGCAACCAGGACUGACUAGACAGCCCCAAAGAAUAAAACCCAGGCUAUACUGAAAAUGGUAUGAAAAAAAGCUGUAGAGAAAUUUUAAUUCAGCGAUAUGGCUGCUCUGGCAAAGGAUCACAUCCAAAGACCUUCUAGGUCUCUGUGAUCCAGCUGGAAUGGUACACCUUUAAUACGUCUGGUUGGAAUACAGACAUACCCUAGUACACACUGUUAGUCCCAAACAAUGAAGGGAACAUUAGUUUAUAGAAGAAAACAGCCAAGUUUCAAAGUCAUGUCUUAUUGAGGGGUAGACAAAGUGAUGAAAUCAGAGAAAGAUUUGAUAGAAUGAGUCAGAGAUAGGAUACUCCCAACUCUCAUGAGCACAGACAAAAAAGGGGGGCUAAUUAAGAAAGAAGUACAAAGAGAGAAAGAGAAUCAGAGAAAGACAUACAGAAACAGAGAAGGAAGGGGGGGAGGGGCAGAAGGGACAGAGAAAGAGAAAGAAAAAGAAAGAGGCUGUUCUACCAGGACAGGUUGCAGCUGAAGACAGAUAAACCAGAGAAUGCAGAGCCAGGAGAUUAGAACAGAUUACCAGUUAGUCUGAGGCCAAGCUAAACAAUUCAGUCAGAAGCAAGAAGCCAGUUUAAAUCAGUUAGCUUAGAGAGGAUUUUGGGCCAGAACAGCUGAGUUGAACCAGCCAAAGUGCCAAAGUUCAGAAAGAACUAGAAACCAUGAGCUUAUUCAGCAGUAAGACUCCUAGAAAACAAUUACAUCUGGAAAAAAAAACAGCAAAAAACAAACAAACAAACAAACAACACUUACAAAGAGCAGGACAGGUUACAGCCCACAAUGAUGAAAAUGAUUACCUGCCCUGUCAAUGACUGUCUAUGGAGCCUGACAGAACAACUACACAUAGAAAUCACAACAGAAGACAGAAAAUUAAAUGGUCCUGAAAGUACCCAUGAGAAAAAUAUGAAAAUGGAUCUCCCUUAUUCACAUGUAAAUAACCAAUUCAGGAUAUAUUAACAAUGCAAAUAUGAAGUACAGCUAGCAAGGUAAAUAUGAAAGGGUUUCUUAAUCUUUUGAUUACAUGUAAGCUGAGAACUUCUAUGCAUCAUAGAAAGAAACCACAGUAACUAAACUUUCAGGGCUGGCAAGAUGGCUCAGAGUCUUUCUAUCAAGCCUCAUGGCCUGAGUUUAGUCUCUGAGAUCUACAUGGUGGAUAAAAAGGAACAAUUCCUGCAAGUUGUCCUCUGACCUACACACACAGGCCUGGACAUAUGAAUGUAAUAAAAAAAUUUAAAGAAAAUAAAGAACACCAAAGACAAGCUAUAAACUGAGAAAUGCCUGUAAACAAAAACCUAAUUAAAGAUUACUAUCUAAGGUAUGUAAGAAUGCUUACAAGGGCUGAGAAGAUAGGUCAGUCAGUCAAGUAUUUGCCUUGCAAGAACAAGUACCUGAGACUAAUGCCUAGAACUCAUGGAAAAAAGUCAGAUAUGAUUAUGCAGCCCCAUGUGCAGUAGAGGCCCAUGAAAGAACAAUCUCAAAAACAAAACCAAAGAAAUGGGGUUGGGGAGUGGGUGAAAAGACAGAGCCAAAAACAAGAGCUUAAAAUGUGCUCUGGUCUCUACUCAGGCACACACAACACUUUAAUGCAUGUUAACACAUAUUUACAUGUACACAUAAGACACAAACACUGUACAAGUAAUAAGAAAAAGAUAAUUCAACAAGCAAACAGAUAAACUCUUGACUGGAAUUUCACAGAAGGAAAUGGAUACAAUGGACAAAUAAAUGGAGAAAUGCAAUAUGUCAUUGUCUACAAUAAAACACAACUUCACACCACAGGAUUCCAUUUUAAAGUUCUUAAAAUACUAAAAACUAGAAGAUCAGCAUGAGAUAUUGGCAAGAAACACAGAACGGGAACAUAUCUAAUAGAUUUCACAUAGGUAUACAAGUGGUAAAGUCCUCCUCAAUACUAAAUUGAUAUUACCAUGUGAAGUUGAACACUCAUAUGCUCCUCUAUAGGCAAUUCUCAGUUUUAUAAUAAAAUUACUUUUAUACGUCUACUUUAAGAAUAACCAUCCUACAUAAUAAAAACAAGAACAUUAAACCUAUUCAAAUAUACCUUGACAAAAAACAGUUAUAUAAACUGUGCUAAUUUACAUAAUGAAGUUAUAGAGUAGUGAGAGUGAAGGAACUGUAGCUGUAGGCAGUGGCAUGAAUGAAUCUUGGAAAUGUACCAGUGACUGGGGCUAAAGCGAGACUUCUGAGUAGUAACAUCUUCCUCACACUCAGCCCCACACUAAUACUUAGUAUUGUGUCACCAAGAAAUUCUCCUAAUCCUAUCAGCAAACUAAGAAAAAAGGUUUUUGUUUGUUCAGUGGUUACUACGACCUCAUCUUUUGCUACUAAUUUUCUUUGAAAAUACCAUGAUUUCUAUGACUGAAAAAGAAAAUAAAAAAUGUAAUUUGGCUGAUGGAUCUCAAAAGCUUAUAAAGCAAACAGAAAAUUAAAUGGUGCACAUCUGAGAGCCGCUAACAUCCAAGGAGGCUACCAAAUGACAAAUCGUCGCUGGACAUUUUUGCAAUUUUCUGUUGUAAGUCUGAAUUUACAUCAUUUACAUAAUGUGAGGCUUCCAUGUGGCCUUUGUGUUCUAAUACAUUUGGCCUUUAAAUGUAUAAACAUGUGUAAAUCUGGUAUUUCUUUAAAGUAAAAUACAAGUUUAUUUUAAAAAUCACUUUGAAUAAAUAUCAUAGUGCUCUGAAUGAGAAAUGGCCCCCACAGGCUCAUGUGUUUGAAUGCUUGGGCUCCAAUUAGUAGAACUGUUUAGGAAGGAUCAGGAGGCGUGACCUUGUUGGAGAUGUGUCUCUGGGGGCAAAAGACGUACGCCAUUCCCAGUGCCCUCUCUCACUCCCUAAGGGGACAAGAUGUAGGUUCUCAGUUACCACUCCAGCCACCUACUACCAUGCCCUGCUCUGCCAUCACACAUGCUGACCUUCCUGAACCGUAACCCCAAUUAAACUCUCCUUUAUAUGUUGCCUUGGUCAUGGUGCUUUAUCCCAGCAACAGAAAAAUAAGUAAAACAGAUAAGAAGUUCAAAAGAAUUCUCCUUAUGUAUUAAAAAAGAAACAAAGUCAGGCAUGGUGGCAUAUACCUAUAAUCCCAGCAGAGGAAAGAUGGAAGCAGUAAGAGUUUGAGUUCAAAUCUGAGGCCAGGGGGUUGGGGAUUUAGCUCAGUGGUAGAGCGCUUGGCAAGCACAGGGCCCUGGGUUCAGUUCCCAGCUCUGAAAAAAAAAAAAAAAAACCCAAAACGAAUCUGAGGCCAGACUGAACCACAAAGCAAGAUCUUGUCGGGGGAAGCGUGGUCAGGGGAGACAAAAACAAACUCAAUAUGGUAGGCUGACCUGGGAUGGGAAAGAAAGGCAUGCACAAUAUGGGAAUCCAUCACAGUUAGCUCCUUAACCUUGUUAGCAGUGAUCUAGGUUUAACUUCUGAAAUGGUUGGCUCAUAAACAUUUAUGUUUACUACUAGUUUCCAAAUGUGACAUAUAAGCUGGCACGUUCAAACUAUAUAUAUAUAUAUAUAUAUAUAUAUAUAUAUAUAUAUAUAUAUAUAUAUAUAUAUAUAUUCUCUCUCUCUCUCUCUCUCUCUCUCUCUCUCUGUGUGUGUGUGUGUGUGUGUGUGUGUGUGUGUGUUAAAAGAUGGUACUAUGUAUAUGGCUGCCUGAAAUUGACUUCAAAUGUUUUCCUCAGUUACACCCAUUUUACUUUCUGGUAGUCUCUCACUGGACCCCAAGUUCACCAAUUCUUGUUAGUCUAACUGCCUGGCUUACCCUGGAAAAUCCCAUCCCUGCUUCUCUAGUAUUAGCAAUAGGCAGGUGGCAAGUCUGCCCAGCUUCUACACUAGUUCUGGGGAUCCACACUCUGGUCCUCAUGCCUAGACAACAAGUGCUUAAUUUACUGACCUAUCACCCCAGCCCCAGCAAUUUAAACAACACAUGGAAGUCAAGAAAUAGACAGAAGAAAGUGUAAGCCACUAAUCUACCAAGUGUGGUUUCUAAAGUCUAUGGUGAAAACAAAGAGAGUAUUAGAGCUCUCACCCAUUGAAUUAGUCUUCAAUAAAGAUACACUUCCCUGGGCAUUAAAUGAGACAUGGGCUAAAAGGGUUUUCUGUUGUUGUUGUUUUUAUUUAAAGGUGGACUUAAACUCAAACAACUGAAAAAAAGGACUUCAUGAUUCCAUUAGACAGAUACUUGCCAAUAUGUAAGACAAGCACGCAUCAGAUGUUCUCUGAGAAGAAAUUUGUAAGUUUAGAACACUACACAGAUGGGAACUGGAUGCCAGCCUGUUGAAAGACUGCUCAUUUUUCUGUAUCUUGACUUACCUGUCUAUUUUUUCUUUGGUUUUAUAUAAACCCCUUAUACAUUCUAACCUGCAUACUCAAGAACACACAAACAAUACUAGAAAAUAUGAUGAGAGAAUUAAAAAAUUGAACCUCAAGAAGUGUGUAAAAUGCAGAGCUUCAGUUUUUAAUUUUUUAUUUUUUUCUUUUGAGACAGGAUCUCUCUAUGAAGUCCUGGCUGGCCUGGAACUUGGUGUGUAGACAAGUCACGGUUCAAACUUAAGAAAGAUCCACCUGCCUCUAUCUUGUAAGCACUGGAACAAAAGAUGUGCACCUUGCAAAUGCCUUAUUUUUAUAAAAAUGCAUUAAUUGAUCUAUAUAGGCAUAAGAAUUAGUAAUCAAUGUACACUUAGUUUGAAGACUAGCUACAUAAUUUUCACUUGAAACAAAAGGGUUAAUCACUCACUGUGUACCAGGAACUGUUCCAGACACUGAGGAUACGAAGAUGAAGACGACGCGAUUUCUUCUGUCAAGGAGCUCAUAGUCUGGUGAAGAGACAACCCUGCAAACACAAACAGUUUUCAGUGUGACACAGAAUGCCAAGUCCUUCCUCUGGAACGCACGAGAGAAGCAAAGAACCUUCAGUCAGAGAGCAGAGGCAUCACAGCAAAGUAGCCUGAAAAAAGGUGCCUAGUAUGACUGCCCUCCAGAGAGAGUCAGACGCAGAUACUUACACCCAAUCAAUGGACAGAAGCUGGGGACCUUUGUGGUUGAAUUAGGAAAAGGCUGGAAGAAACUGAGGAGGCUGCCAACGCCACAGGAAGACCAGCAGUCUCGACUAACCUGGACCCCAGAGAUCUCUCAGACACUGAUCACCAACCAGGCAGCAUACACCAGCUGAGAUGAGGCCCCCAACACACAUACAGCAGAGGACUGCUGGGUUUGGGUUCAGUCAGAGAAGAUGCACCUAACCCUCAAGAGACUUGAGGCCCCAGGGAAGUCUGGUGGGGUGAGGGUGGGGGACAUCCAAUUGGAGUGGGGGAGGGGGGUCAGGAGCUGGGGGGCAGGAAAUAUGGGAUGCUAUUUUGUAUUCCUGCACAAAACAUCAUGACCAAGAAGGAAGUUGGGGAGGAAAGGAUUUAUUCACUUCCACAUUGCUGUUCAUCACCAAAGGAAGUCAGGACAGGAACUCAAACAGAGCAGGAACUUGGAGGCAGGAGCUGAUGCAGAGGCCAUGGAGAGGUGCUGCUUACUGACUUGCUCAGCUUACUUUCUUAUAGCACCCAGGACCACCAGCUCAGGCACGGUACUACCCACAAUGCCUCCCGCCUUGAUCACUAGUUGAGAAAAUGCCUUACUUUUAGACCUCAUGGAGGCAUUUCCUCAAGGGAGGCUCCUUCCUCUGUGAUAACUCCAGCUUGUGUCAAGUUGACACACAAAGCAAUCAGCACAGAUGAGGAACAGUCAGAAGGCAGACGAGUAAGGGGAACAGGGGUUGGGGGUGGGGGGCAAGGGAUAAAUACUGGACUGUAAAAAAAGAUUAAAGAAUAUAAAAAAAGAAUGCAGGUGAAGCAGUAGUUCAAAGUUUGAGACUUGCCUUUGCCACAAUUUCUGUCAGUUGUAAAGCGCAUGGCUAUUUCCGGGUUUCAAAUGUGACAGUGUAGUGUGAUUGCCCAUCAUAGAACUAUGAGACAGUGCUUGGUGGAAUGAGUUGGGUGGAAAAGUAUUGCUCAAAUGAACCACUGCUCCGUGGCAUGCAAUUCUGUAUUUGUAUUAUUACAUCUACCACACUGGUUUUACAAGUUGGAAUUUGACAUUCUUUUUAAGAAUGUAGGCUUCUUCCGUCUGUUUCUAUUUACUCACUAGACCCCAGCAUGCUGUCUUCCUCACUUGCCUGAAUGAGCCUUCAAAACAAAUGAGUUCAUAGCUCACCUUUUUUUCUAAACACCAUAAAGUUAAAGAUUUUUUCAUCUCCCUCUCAGCUUUAUUAAGGUAUAUUUGGCAAGUAAGAAUUAUGUGCUUUUGUAAUAUAUACCAUGAUAUUAUGAUGCAUGAAAUCUUUGUGAAAUAAUUAAAUCAAUUAUCAAAAAAUAUAAACCAGAAUAUAAUUUAAGUUAAAGAAAGAAUGUUACUUCUACAUAGAAAGAUAAUUUAUAAAAAGAUAUAUUGCUAGGUAUUUUAAUAGCUUUAUAAAUCAAAAUGACAGGGAGGUAGCACAUGGUUAGCACAGGACCGCCCAUCUACAUUUUAAUUGUCCAUCUUUGGAAGUUUCUCAGUUGUGUGGAAAUUGGGACAGUCAAUAGACUUAUGGCUCAGUGUAAUGAAUCCAUCUGCACUUAGCUCUUCUUAUGAUCUCAAACUAACAGAAUUCUGCAAAAAAGCAGUUUCCUACUUACCUGACUCAAAACUGUAGAAAGAACCAGAUCACUUAUACAGAAUAAAGCAGGGCACAAAAUCACACCACAGGGACUGUGUAAGAGAGGCAGGGGGGAAACACCCAACAUCUCUCUUAAUUCUCAGAAACAUUUUCAAUAAACUCUAAGUCAUCAGUUUGACUCCUAAAGAUCUAAAUUCUGCGUCAGCUUCCUAAUGUUCAGUCCCAUUCCAGGCUUUUGUUCAGUCCCACUCUUUUGUUCCCAUUCCAGGCUCUCAUUUCCAUGGUAAUCCCCCUUGUCACUGUAAAGCCUUCACCGCCACACCAGUACCACACCAUCUUGUGGCUUGCCAGCCUUCAACACUGUUGCAGAGAUGACCCUCAUCCUAAUCUGAUGGGCCCUUUUCUGCACACAACCCAGCAGAAGCUGUCUCCUCCACUGUGCUUGUCAGGGAUGCCCCUCUAGGUCUUCUUUGUCUAGGGAUAUUAGCAGCAGAACCUUUGAGCCUUUACUUGCAUGCAUUUUACCCUUGGCUACAUUUCCAGAUGGCUUUUAGGUGGCUUUUGUAUUGCAGCAUUGCUUUUUUGUCCUUUUACUUUUCUUCAAUACCAUCAUCAGAAUGACCAUGUGCAGGUCUGCCUCCCUCCCCUAGUUGUCAGCUGAGUUAAAAGAAUCACUUGAAUCCAGGACUUCAAGUGCAACCUGGGCAAAAUGAGAUAUUACAUGAAGGAAAAGAAAUAAAUUGUCAUAAUUUUUAUAAAGUAUACAAAUAAAUGCAAAAAAAUCCUCCUCAAAGAGAUCAGUUUAGAAAGCACUAUUUUACAUUAAAAUAAAUUUAAAAUCCUGAUUAAAUAGCUGAGACAGGGUACUUAAAUAAGAAAUGGAUGACAGAACACAGAUUUUUUUUUUAAGCUUAGAAUUACUUCACUGAAAGUAUGACUUUUCUCAUAAAACAAGGAAUAUUAGUAAAUGAGCCAUUACUGCACCAAUUUAAGUCAUAGCUGUUUCGUUUUAUCCUGUUGUCUUCCUCAAUCACACUUUAAUUUUUUACUCCACAGCCCCAUUUACAGAAGUUGCCACAGAAAGGUCUGCAGGAACCCUUGGCUGACACCAAGGCACUGAGUAUUUAAUGGAAGCUCAUGUUUGCAAACUCUGAAGACAAUAUUCUACAACACCACAAGAUGGUGAUCUUGCACCAUAAAAAGAAUGUUUUAAAAAGUCACUCUUUUUUUUUUUUUUUUUUUUUUAACAACUUCCCCAAAAUAAAAUAGUUUGCAAGACAGGACAUAAAAAGUAUGCAUGCUCUGUUUACUAGAAAACACUAGUUCAGAAAGGAAAACGUACUAAACUUAGCAGCAAUCCUUCCAGCUUUUAGCGCAAAGGAGUAUUUUAAAAACUCAGGGCUGGUGGCUAUACCUAGGCUGACUUCCUCCCCUGACCAACCCUACCUUAUCAUCCACAUAAAACCGUUCAAUUCAGCCUAUGUUUUUUACUAGUUAGGCCUAACAAUUUCCCCUCUAGUUAAUUAAAGAAGAAGUGACUCCUAUUUUUCCUUCUUUCUUUUGGUAUCAUUCUUUUAAGACAGGGUCUCAAGCUGAGGCUGGCCCCAAGCUCAGUCAGCAAUCUUCCUCCUAUUUCGGCCUCCAGAGUACUGGGGUCAUAGGUGUGAACCAGCAUACCCAGCUCAAAUGCCUUCUUUUUUUUGUUAAUCUUAAAAAUGCUGAUGGUAAGUUUCAGUUAUGUCAACAGGAGAUUACCCCUGAAUGGUGUUCAGCACUGGAAGCUAGGAACUUUGUUUUGUCCUAAUGUGUUAUUUCUCAAUAUCUUAUAACAUGCAAUAUUGUUUUCAAAAUGGUUAAAAACUAACUUUAAAGAAAAAAAUUGCACAUUUAGCAAUUUUUAUUCUUGCCUUACUGAGCAUUGUAGAAAAAUUUCCCACUCAAAUUGCUACCUGGUAACAAUUUUAAAAAUGCUAUUCAAGACUAAACACAUCAAAACUUUAGUACAAACUCUGAGACUAAAUUAGUCUCUUAAUACUAUUAUUCUUGGGUACCUGUGGGGAAUACCUAUAUCCACAGAUAACAGUGUCCACUAAAUGCAAUGGAACAAUAUCUGUAUAAAAUUACAGACAUCCUACAAUACACUCUAGUCACUUGUAGAUUUCCUAUUAAACACAAUGUAAAUCCUAUGUAAAAUACUUGUUAUGCAGUAUUGCUCUGGAAAUAUAGGGUGAGGGGGAUCACAAAUAUGUUCAACGCACUAAGAAUUUUCUCUGUAAUAUUCUCAAUACAAGGUUGCUUGAACCUGUAAGGGCAGGACCUACAAACACCGAGGGCUGUCUGAAUUUGCUGCAUCAUGAAGCAGCAAAAUGCUUGGUCAUGAGGACUUGGAGCAGCAAAGAGACUCAGGAACACAAAGCCCUGACUAUCCACCGAGCCCACCCCUGCUGACUAGGUUAGUAUUCUUCCACUGUGCACCGGGACCCUCAGCUAUGAACACCAAAACUAAGUUCCCCCAACUAUUUCGUGAUUAUUUCUAAAUGUAUUACAAAUUCUAAUUUACCACAAUUUGCACAGCCAUGAUCACAAUUUAUCACAAAAUUCACAGCCUAAUCUGGAAUUCCAAAGUGACAUUUUUUUAGAUUUGGAAAAGCAUGUUGGGGGAAGUUAACACAGAGAAGAGUUUUCAAUUCAGACAUACCUGAGCCCAUCCUCAGCUCUCCUAUUUGUAUAUAUUUAACCUCAGUUUGCUUUAUCUGAAAAAUGAGGUUACCAACGUGAAACAAGGGAAAAAGCAAAAGAGUGCUAAUACCAACCCUAGGCAAGUGGAAGAAGAAACUCUUGUUGGAGCCAAGAAUCCAGGAAAUACCUAGGAGGUGGAGGAAGUGAGAUCAAGGCUAGCCUGGACUAUAGAGCAAAACAAACAAGGAAACACAAACAAAGCAAUCUUAAGGUAAUUAAAAGCCAUCAAAUAAGAUACAUGCAAUAUUCUUUACUAUAUAUAAAUACUCUCCUUAAGAGUUUCAAAACACACAGUAAGAUAUAACUUCUUACUAAAGAAUCUUCACUCUUAGAGAAAAUUAGACAAUUAUAUAACCAAUUAAAAAGCUAAAAAUCUGUUCCAAGAAAUAAUGUAAUCUUUAUUAAGCUUAAAAUAUAGUAAAAAUACAGUUCAUUAUACACAGCGUCAGAAGGACUGAAAGUCCCUCUUACUUACUUGCUUGUCAGAACUUAUUUUAGUAGUAAACUCUGAAUACUUAUCAUCAUUGCCGAUGCACACCUCCCAGUUUCCUGUAGCUCAGGUGCUGCCUCAGACUUUCACUGCAAUUUUAUAUAAAGUGUAUGUGGAAUGCUUGCUUGGUCGAUUGCUUGCAUGCUUUGGGGGUUGGGGAGUGUAUGGAUGAUGUGUACCAUCUGCAUGUACAUGUGCACCCUUGGCGAGAGGGUUCUAGUCGUCACCGUCUGCAGCUCCUCUGCCUUAUUCUCACUGCUGUUUCGGACGAGGCUGGUAGACACAGCUGCAGUCCUUCUGCCUCUCCACCCCCACCCCACACACCUAAUCCUGGGGCCAGAGAUGCAGACAGAGGUCUUUUAUAGGGGUGCCUGGGAUCUCAGUCUACGUCUCAUGGUUGCACAGGUAGACUCUCAUCUACUGAAUGGUCUACCAGCCCAUCUUCUGAAACUAAAUUUGAAGCAGAUCUGAAUCAGUGAAUGAAAAUAUAGUACGAACAUCCCAGUGCGUGCUAAAUGUCAAGCUUAAGUCAGCAUACAGUUCUAUAAAUCGGAUGCUAUCAGUCUCACUUUUAUAUGAAUAGCUAACACACACAGUUUGAUAAAACUCCCUAAGUCAGGUUUACAGAAGCACUGUCAUGAGUAACAUGAGUACCAGAACUCAAAUCACGAUUUGUAUUUCCCUCUGUAAGAUCUGGGCUUUUAUUAGAUCACCCUUUAAAUAAAAAUUUAGAUUACAAAGAAAUUUUAAAAUGUAAGGUUACCAAAUUUUUCAACCUAGAAAAAUAAAAUUUUCAAAUAUAAUGUAUACCUCGCAUUCUCGAUAGUCACAUCUAAAUACUAACAUAUUUCACACACCACAGGACAAAAAGAAAUGGUCUAUUGUUGCCUUCUUCGCGGUGAAAACAAACGCAAAAACAAUGGGCUCCUCGGAAGAGAGGCCAGGUCGCCCCAGCUUACAAGGCAGCAGGGCUUGUUUGUCGCCAUGAGGAGUGCUCACAGUAACCUCUGCUUAUGUCCCUCUCCACCAUACUUUGGUUUUUCCCAGGAACUGCUCCCAGGGUAAAAGUCUAGAAGAUCUGACUGGGGCUGGAGGUUUGGUUCUGCAGUGAGAGCACUGGCUGCUCUUACACAGGUCCCAGGUUCAGUUCCCAGCACCCACGUGGUGGCUCACAUCAACUAUAACUAGGUUCCAGGGGAUCUGUCAUUCUUUUCUGGUUUCUGUGGACACCAGGCGGACACCAGGCACACAUGGUAUACACACUGAUGCAAGCAAAACACUCAUACACACAAAAAAGGUAAAUAAAUUUUAAAAAUUAAAAAAAAAAAAAGGUCUACCAUGUGUGGUGGUGCAGCACUAGGGAAGCAGAGGCGGGCAGGUCUCUGACUUUGAGGGCAGCCUGGUCUACAGUGAAUUCCAAGACAGUCAGAGCUACAAAGUGAGAACCUGACUCCAAAAACAAACAAAAUUGUUUUUAAAUCUGAUUGAAUUCUGUUGGUCACAGAACUAAGGAACAUUUAAAUAACAGAGAAGCAUGCAGACAUCACCAGAACGUAAAAGGAGUUUAAAGUUUUUUCCAUUUUCACUGACUUGAAACUUAAACCCUUUUUCAUGAUUUUCUUCCCAAGUUAAUGUCCUUAUGCUAAGCAAUGGCUUUUUCCCAAAAGACAUACCACGCCCACAGUUAACCUACUUUCUAUCCAAAAGCCCAAAUUCCAAAUGUGACACACUUCAAUCAAUGUAUCUAUUUCUGAGUUGCCUUGUCUAAGCUAAGUAAAAUGCAGUAAGACUAUCUAACAAAUCAUUAUAAUAUCUAAUUUAACUCCUUCAAGAUUACAUUUAGAAAAAAAGAAGAAAUAUCUUCACAGGAAUUCUUUGGUAGAAUGGGGGAAUGUUUUCAACAAGGAAGCCAGGGCCAUUUUACUUGCCUGCUCAGGGCUCUAAGCCCUGGGUAUCUGUCUUAAGUCUUUUAAAAAUCUGGAAGGUUCAGAUGUUAAGCUCUUUUUAUUUUUACUUUUCACGUGGGUAGGAAGGAACAUCUUACCUAGAAAAACUCAUAUUAGGGCGCCAAAUUAGAGUCAGUUUCUGACAACGGGUUAAGGUUCUCAAACAACCUUCUCAAGACAAUACACCCUGGAAGACAGGAAUAACUUAAUGCUUAGGAAACAUCCCGCACGGCUGUUACGCAGAGACUACACCUUGACCAACUGGUCCAUACUGCAUUAACCGAAUGAUUAUGCUAACAAAUUGUGGCCCCCA